rnacentral:rRNA from 1 species
UACGUAGGGUGCAAGCGUUAUUCGGAAUUACUGGGCGUAAAGCGUGCGCAGGCGGCUCUGCAAGACAGAUGUGAAAUCCCCGGGCUCAACCUGGGAACUGCAUUUGUGACUGCAUGGCUAGAGUACGGUAGAGGGGGAUGGAAUUCCGCGUGUAGCAGUGAAAUGCGUAGAUAUGCGGAGGAACACCGAUGGCGAAGGCAAUCCCCUGGACCUGUACUGACGCUCAUGCACGAAAGCGUGGGGAGCAAACAGG